GGGGCACGUGAUGUUGCGUUUGUCGCCGUUGCCGUGGCAAUUUUCAUGUUACAAAGUCGCCAUCCUCAUCGCUAUCGCCAUUCCCAUUCUCAGUCCCAGUUCCAGCCAGACCCAUUCUCAGUCCCACUUCCCACUUCCAUGCUCAUCGUCAUCGUUGUCUGUCGCCUGUCGUCUGUUUUGUGUAAAGAGUUUUACUCUGCUGCUGGUGCACAAGGAAAAAUAACAAUUUUACAAAUUGAAAAUCUAAAAUUAAGUUUUAUAACUAGCCUACAAAAUAAUAUUUACUGUUUAGCUGUAUUAAAUAUCUUUUAAAUCAAAACUAGAAUAAGAAAUACGAAAGUUUAUUUUGAUUUUACAGACUUAAAAGUAAAAACUCUAUUUUAAAUAAAAUUUCCUUAAGUUACAUUGCCUUAAUCAAUCAAUAAUUUUUCCCUCUGCAAAACUUCUUUUUUUCCAGGUUGGCAAUUUUCAGUGCAGCCUUUUUGGGAGCUGGUUGCUGGGUGCUUUCGGUGGUCUGGAUUUUCCUGCGAUUUUAUAAUACUUAAUUUACCUCAUUAAGUGAUGUUUCUUCAAGAUUCCGCCAUCAAGUGCAUGUCCUGUCCAGCAGCCGUGAAGUGUGACUCGAAUCGAGGCGAUUUCAGUUCGGUUUGGCUGGAGUUUGAAAUGAAAGGUGCGAGUAUGACAGCUACCAUAAUGCCAUUAGGCGCAGCAGGAAUUUGACUGGAGGAGCGCCGCAGGACUUCACACCGAAAGAAGGAAAACUCAUUAAAUUGGAACUAAGACAAAGGGGGAAGACUGUUGGAUAUAUUGGAAAUACGAAAACCGUUUUCAGGCAUCGAAGGAAACCCUCAAAAGUGAAGUCAGUCGAGACAAUGCAAUGCACUGCAUGAUAUGUUGCAAGGAGAGCGAGCAAAACUGUGGCAGUCCUUUCAAUGUUUUUCCUUAUUUUUCCAAAGCAUCUGUGUGUGUGUGUGUGUUUGUGUGUGGCUGUGUGUUUGUGUGUGGCUGUGUGUUUCUGUUUUCGAGAGAACAACGACAGCUGUUACUUGUGGUGAAUUUUCUUGGCCACUUUGCAGACUUCAAAACUCACCACUUUCUCUCUCAGCUCUUUGGGGUUUUCGCUCUCAUUUUCCUCACUGGGUCAUUCGGGGGAAAUUUUCUCGCACUCUCUCUCUCUAUCUCUGUCCCUAACUUUCUUCCUCUCCCAUUUCUCUUGGUGCGUGGGUGACACAUUUUUUGGAACUCCAAUUUGUGUGCCUUUUUUUUUGUUUUGUUUUUUGAUGGCUUAAACUAAAAUAAAUUUUAAUUAAUUGAUGGCUAAUCAUUAGCGGACUUCGUUUUGUUAUAUUUUUAGAAGCUUUUUAGGUAAAUAAAAAUAAAAUUAAAGCCGACGCUUCUUCUCCAUGUUUUUUCGCAGUUUUCCUUUGCCAUUCUUCGGUGUUUUUUUCCUAUAUUCCUUGGUUUUUGGGGGCUUUUCCCUGUGACUUACUUUCCGCUAAACAAUUUUUCGGUGUCAAUGUCGGCAUUUUUGUUGUUUUUCCUCUGGCAUUUUCUUCCCCCCUUCAGAUUGCGCACAUGUUUUCGAAAUUCUUUCAUAUUUAUUGGCAAUUUCAUCUGUUGCAAGUUUUUGUUUUCAUAUCGUUCUCUUUUAUGUGGGAGCUAUCUUAACGUCCAGGUCAUUAAGGCCUUGUUUGGGUUCGGGUUUGUUUUUAUUGGUGAAAACACUUUAUAUGGCUUGGAUGUUAAAGGUAACGCAGUUUCGUUGCUGAUGACCAAAGAUAUGGCUGUUAGCUUUAUGGGUGACAUGAUGAUGUUGAGGUAGGCAAGAUGAGAUUGGUUUGGUGAAAAAAAAAUGCAACUG